GCGGAAGAGAUAAGUGCUGAAAGCAUCUAAGCACGAAACUUGCCCCGAGAUGAGUUCUCCCUGACCCUUUAAGGGUCCUGAAGGAACGUUGAAGACGACGACGUUGAUAGGCCGGGUGUGUAAGCGCAGCGAUGCGUUGAGCUAACCGGUACUAAUGAACCGUGAGGCUUAACCUU
rnacentral:rRNA from 1 species